UUAAAACAUUCGCAAAGAGCCCAGAGGUC
rnacentral:piRNA from 1 species